AUCAUGCGCCGUGUGGCGCUGCGGCGCGCGGCAGGGGCUGAGUUCGCGGAGGCGGCUGAGACGCUGCAUUGGGCGGCUAGAAGUGCUCGGCGUGCUGGCUCCCGGGAGAGGAAGGUCCAGGGCGGGCCGGAGACAUGCACACCACAGAGCGUGGCGAUGGAACAGUAACCGGGCUUGUGAGAGGGCUCUACAAUAUCAACUAGGAGACAAGAUCCACGGAUUCACCAUAAACCAGCAUAGUAACUAAAAAUGACAACACUUCACAUAUUUGGACAGCUGUUGGCUCUGUGCUAUGCUUGAUGUUGUAGCAAAUUUAAAAAACAACUUACCGUCUAGAAAGACUGAUGCGGCUGUGACUGGAGGCACAUGGUAGACGCCAUGGGGAGGGCCAAGGACAAGGGCGGGAGCUGCUGCUGCUGCUGCUGCUGGGGGGAGAGGGAAGAGCUCCUGGAGAGGGUGGUGUGAGAAAGCAGCUGCCUCUGGGCAGGGCUCCAGCAAGGGAACCAGGGCAGUGACUAGGGGGUCCCAGGCAAGGUCCAGGCAUGGGAGUCCUGACAACAGACUCAGAGCAUUUGUGAAAUCCUGCAAAGUGAGGGCAAAGACACCUCACUCUGGGUGAGGCCUUAUUAAUAGU